ACGAACGCUGGCGGCGUGCCUAACACAUGCAAGUCGCGCGCGAAGGGCUUCGGCCUUGUAGAGCGGCGCACGGGUGAGUAACACGUGGGUAAUCUACCCUCAGGCUCGGAAUAACCCAGGGAAACUUGGGCUAAUACCGAAUAAGACCACACACGAAAGUAGUGUGGGAAAAGCGGAGGACCUCUUCGGAGGCUUCGCACCAGAGGAUGAGCCUGCGUCCCAUCAUGGUAGUUGGCGGGGUAACGGCCCACCAAGCCUGAGACGGGUAGCUGGUCUGAGAGGAUGAUCAGCCACACUGGAACUGAGACACGGUCCAGACUCCUACGGGAGGCAGCAGUGGGGAAUCUUGCGCAAUGGGGGAAACCCUGACGCAGCAACGCCGCGUGAGUGAUGAAGGUCUUCGGAUCGUAAAGCUCUGUCGGCAGGAACGAUGGAUAUCGUAGCUAACAUCUACGAAAUCUGACGGUACCUGCAAAGGAAGCACCGGCUAACUCUGUGCCAGCAGCCGCGGUAAGACAGAGGGUGCAAGCGUUGUUCGGAAUUAUUGGGCGUAAAGGGCGCGUAGGCGGCCUUGCAAGUCAGAUGUGAAAUCCACGGGCUCAACCCGUGAACUGCAUCUGAUACUGCGAGGCUUGAAUCCCGGAGAGGGUGGUGGAAUUCCCAGUGUAGAGGUGAAAUUCGUAGAUAUUGGGAGGAACACCGGUGGCGAAGGCGACCACCUGGACGGAGAUUGACGCUGAGGCGCGAAAGCGUGGGGAGCAAACAGGAUUAGAUACCCUGGUAGUCCACGCUGUAAACGAUGGGUACUAGAUGUUGCGGGUAUUGACCCCUGCAGUGUCGACGCUAACGCAUUAAGUACCCCGCCUGGGAAGUACGGCCGCAAGGCUAAAACUCAAAGGAAUUGACGGGGGCCCGCCACAAGCGGUGGAGCAUGUGGUUUAAUUCGACGCAACGCGCAGAACCUUACCCAGACUUGACAUUGAUGGAAUCCUGUAGAGAUACGGGAGUACCCUUCGGGGACCUGAAAACAGGUGCUGCAUGGCUGUCGUCAGCUCGUGUCGUGAGAUGUUGGGUUAAGUCCCGCAACGAGCGCAACCCCCGUCGUUAGUUGCCAGCAGGUAAAGCUGGGCACUCUAGCGAGACUGCCGGUGUCAAACCGGAGGAAGGUGGGGAUGACGUCAAGUCCUCAUGGCCUUUAUGUCUGGGGCUACACACGUGCUACAAUGGCAACUACAGAGCGCUGCAAACCCGCGAGGGGGAGCAAAUCGCAAAAAAGUUGUCUCAGUUCGGAUCGGAGUCUGCAACUCGACUUCGUGAAGUCGGAAUCGCUAGUAAUCGAGGAUCAGCACGCCUCGGUGAAUACGUUCCCGGGCCUUGUGCACACCGCCCGUCACACCAUGGGAGUCAAUUGCUCCAGAAGUCGGUGCGCCACCGCAAGGAGGCAGCCGCCCAAGGAGUGCUUGAUGACUGGGGUG
rnacentral:rRNA from 1 species